GACGAACGCUGGCGGCGUGCCUAAUACAUGCAAGUCGAGCGAGCGGCGGACGGGUGAGUAAUGUCUGGGAAACUGCCUGAUGGAGGGGGAUAACUACUGGAAACGGUAGAUAAAAACGCAUACCAUCAGAUGUGCCAAGAUGGGAUUAGCUAGUAGGUGGGGUAACGGCUAACCUAGGCGACGCUCCCUAGCUGGUCUGAGAGGAUGACCAGCCACACUGUAACUGAAACACGGUCCAUCCUCCUACGGGAGGCAGCAGUGGGGAAUAUUGCACAAUGGGCGCAAGUCGGAUGGAGCCAUGCCGCGUGUAUGAAGAAGGCCGUCGGGUUGUAAAGUACUUUCAGCGGGGAGGCGUUACCCGCAGAAGAAGCACCGGCUAACUCCGUGCCAGCAGCCGCGGUAAUAC
rnacentral:rRNA from 1 species